UUUAGUACUGCCAACAUAAUAAAAGAAUAAUAUUUGUCUCUUAUAUGUAAUACAUCUAUAUAUACACUGUAAAAGAUACUUGUCUUUGAGUGACAAUUUAAGGUUAUAGAUAAAUGUAACUUGAAUCUUUACUGAAGCUAUUAGGAGUUGGUGGGUUUUCUCUGGUGUGGUGUCAUGGGUUUGCUUCCCUUUUUCAGCACAGGUAGGUGGGGCGGUGUGUGACGGGAUGCUGGUACACCGGCGGUUCAUCAGACGUCAUUUGAUGGAGCGUUAUUUAGGAGCAGCGCGACAGACGUCUGGUGUCGGAGUAUUGUCGCCUAUCUGAGUGCCGGAUCCAUCACCCGCUUGCCUGUCAGCUGCUGGUGAAGCCGUAUUUCCGGGAUCACUUCAAACAUCAAUCGCAUCUUUAUCUUCGCAUCCCGGAGAUUCUCGCCCGAGCCUGUACUGCCAGUGUGACAAAUCCACCCUGCAUGCGCCGAUUACCCCUUUCCCUCCGAGUGUGUGUCAGCCCCCUUCCCUGGUUUCCCUCCGUUUAUUUAUCACUGGACAUAAUCUCCCACCCUAUGUAAAUAAUCCAGACACUGUAAAUAAAGAGCA